CCAAUUAACACCAACUUCUUGUUUUCCUUUUCCAGAAACAGAUUAAAUAUUAUCAUGGCAGUGUAAAUCCAGCCCCAGCUUAACCAACGCAGUCACUCCUUCAGACGGCACAACGGACAGGAACAAACAAGCACCACCUCCGAAAGAUUCUCUUACUGAACUUCUAGUUGUGAAGGACGCAUACUGGCCUGAAACGCAACAAACUGCUCUUUGAGAAGUGAUGCCCUCUCUUAUCAACCACUGCUGAGCCCUUUGGGGUAGAUAAGAUUGCUCCUUCUGAGAGUCACUCUUCAUGCUCUUCAAAGCUUCCUUCUCCUCUUGGAGACUGCAAGGAGACUGUGCAGGAGGAAUUCGAUGAAAAACAGAACGAAAGCAACACGCCAUUGGAUUCAACCGGAGAUGUCAAAUAGCCAAGCGCAUUUUUUCGAGCGCAGGAGCCGCAGUUCAGAAGGAGGGCAGCCAUAUUGUUGCUUGAGAGCAGAUGGCUAUCUAAAAGGAGUUAAAGCAGAAUUGACUACCUCCAGCUGCACUGGUCCAUCUCCUUCUUUCUUUCUUCGUCCUUGUUCUCUCUCUUUCUUUUGGUCUGGGUGUCCAGAUAGACGCCUUCUCAGUUUUUUGAGUGCUUGAAUCAGUAAAGUCAUUCUCAGAUUGUAUCAUCUGAUUUGUGAAUCGUUUUUGUUGUCACUAUAGACUGGUGGUGUGGACUUAAUUUAUUUAUUACUGAAUAUGACAUGACACCUGCAUGGCAACAAAUAUCGAUUGAGAUGACGAAUACACGAUCGUCUCAACCUUAAAACAUAUCCCGCAAUCCUUAAACGCUUAUGUAUUUCCGUACGUUCAUACUAGCCGCUACCUUGUAAGAACCAAUAUAGCUUCUCAGCUGCUAGACGCAGUUACGUGAAUCUUGUUUUUAAUGCUGUUUAUCAAAUAUUAAAGUCUUUUCAGUACAUCCGCGAUUAAUGUAGUUAGUUUCACAUUAUGGCUUUUUAUAAAGUCUGUUUCAGUGUUUUUAAAGUCCUUUAGUCAAAGAAAAUUCCUGGUGGCUGCUAAUUUUAUAGACGACUCAGCUUUUGUCAAUGGUCAUGAGAGUUUUAUAGUUUGUAGAUUUUAAUUAAGAAUUAAAAUCGGAUUUUUCUGCCGUACUAGAGUGAGAUGCAUCUGUAAGACUUAAAAUAUGGGUCAAAAUGAACUCAACUAGUAUUACAUAAAAAACUAAACGGUACACCUCUCACUACGAAAAGCGACUUGUUUGAAUACAGAAAUUCAGUGGUCCUUUGACGCCGUCGGAAGAUCUCGCUAGCAGUACAAAGUAACCGUAAUAUAAAACCUACAUGUAUGCUUCUACUUGUAUUUUUGUGCCUUUUAAUAGCAUGGAUCUCCCUGUAAAGAUUCUUUUUGGAUAACCAGCCAUAUAUUUAUUACAGAAAAAAAUAUAUAUAAUAAUGAUAUUGCACUAGUUAUAUUCAAGAAAAUUCCUCUAGGACAUUUCAGUUGACUUUCCAAGAAAAGCAUAACACGAUCAGGUUCCGGCUUCGGUCUCCUGCUGAGUACGAAUCAAUUUAUGCAUGUUCACAUCUGACGUCUUACAUGGUUUGCGCUUACAUGUCUGUACAUACUGAUUUAUGAUAGCUACGACUCAUAUAGAUAAGUGCUAAUGAUUUUGAGACAAAACUCAGAGGUUUUCAGAUCUGAUUUGUACCCUGCUUUCUCCAACUGGCUGUAAUGAUCUAUAUCCUGUGUUGUGGGGAAUAACCUGUUGUCUGCCCAGUCUUCGUUUCUUAAUUAGAGCACAUCAGUUUUUUUUUAAGAUACCGUACGUAAUGUGAAGUUGACAUUUGGUGAGUACUAUCUUGUCCUGGUUAAGGUGGAUGUUUACAAAAAUUCGUAUUAACAUUGGCAGCAAUGGAAAUGUCUCUCAUUGUAGUGUUCCACCGAUUUUCAUGCAGUUAGUCCGACAAUCUGAGUCAUUCUGAAGCUCUCGGUGGGGCAUAUCAGUGCAAGUAUUUGCUUUUUCCAUCACAGAUCUCCUGUAAUCCGCUCCAGACCAUUUCAGUGUAGUUCAGGGCAGCGCUGGUAAUGUUACAACAUGAGGUCACAGAUGAUAAACAUGCUACAUUUAUUUUUACACUCGAAUUGAUUCAGGAACCUCAGUGAACUGGAGAAGUUCUCAGUCUGUCUUGAUGAAGCUUCCUUUGGCGUCUUUGUUGGUGCUCUGAUAAGGUUCCAUGUAAAGAGUCAAUAAGUAAUUGUGACAAAUAAGCUGCACCAUAGAAAUCUUCAUAAGUGGAACAUUCCUACAUGUUGUAUGAGUUUUGCGUGUGAAAAAGUGAGCUAAGACCCCCCCCCACAAAACACAAACCACAGACCACAUGAGCCAGCCAGUGAAAUUCCCACCACUGCCCUGAAACUACUGGGAAGGCACUGUUGCUCUGUUUUGUGAUGCUGAGAUGAGAGGGACGUACAAGGGAACCAUACCAGGAUUUUUCAGAUUUGGCACAUCCCAACUGCCGCAAUUGGAUCCUGCAUCAUAUUUGUAAGACUGCAGAACACAGCUAGUCAGGAAGCCAGUCAGGGUGCCAAAAGUAAACAAGGAACUGUGGCCCAGUCAUUGACUGGGUGACAGUCUACUGUAUUCUGUAUUUUAUAAGAAUAUAUGCAAAUAUAUGUAUGAGAUGUGAAUAAAGUACAUUUAUCCACCAUCGCUGAGGCUUGGGUGGGCUUCUCAUUACGACUAAUAAAACCAUGAUAGUGACAGUU